rnacentral:rRNA from 1 species
UACAGAGGUCUCAAGCGUUUGUUCGGAUUCAUUGGGCGUAAAGCGCGCGUAGGCGGCUUUGCAAGUCGGGUGUGAAAUCCCCAGGCUUAACCUGGGAACUGCAUUCGAGACUGCAUUGCUAGAGUAUGGGAGAGGGAAGUGGAAUUUCCGGUGUGGCGGUGAAAUGCGUAGAUAUCGGAAGGAACAUCAGUGGCGAAAGCGACUUCCUGGACCAAUACUGACGCUCAUGUGCGAAAGCGUGGGGAGCAAACAGG